rnacentral:tRNA from 1 species
UCCCUUGUAUCUCAGUCAGUAAAGGAUCUGCCUGCGAUGCAGGAGACCUGGGUUUGAUUCCUGGCUGGGGUA